CGCAGCCGCGGUAAUUCCAGCUCCAAUAGCGUAUAUUAAAGUUGUUGCAGUUAAAAAGCUCGUAGUUGAAUUUCGGGGUUAGCAGGUCGGUCGUGCCAUCGGUAUGAACUGGUCUCGCUGAUCCCUCCCUCUUGACGAACUGUGAUGCCAUUAAUUUGGUGUCGCAGGGAAUCAGGACUGUUACUUUGAAAAAAUUAGAGUGUUUAAAGCAGGCUCACGCUUGAAUACAUUAGCAUGGAAUAAUGAAAUAGGACGUUUGAUCCUAUUUUGUUGGCUUCUAGGAUUGACGUAAUGAUUAAUAGGGAUAGUUGGGGGCAUUAGUAUUCAAUUGUCAGAGGUAAAAUUCUUGGAUUUAUUGAAGACUAACUACUGCGAAAGCAUUUGCCAAGGAUGUUUUCAUUAAUCAAGAACGAAAGUUAGGGGAUCGAAGACGAUCAGAUACCGUCGUAGUCUUAACCAUAAACUAUGCCGACUAGGGAUCGGAUGAUGUUAAUUUUUUCAAUGACUCAUUCGGCGCCUU
rnacentral:rRNA from 1 species